rnacentral:lncRNA from 1 species
GAAUGAGGCUGGCCUCCUGGUAAUGUUUGUUGUGAAGCACUGUUGUAUGCAGACUCUGAUUCAUCAACUUGGGAAUCUUCGAACUCGGUGAUGAAAAAUAAAAAAGAAAACCAACAAAACAGGAAGGAAAACAGUGAAAACUCUGAUGCUCCUUGGGGAAUAUGAAGAGACACAGAUUUCAUUUAAGAUAACAAAAAAAAAAAAAAGAGAGAAGAAAUAAAAACAAAAACACCACCACCACCAACAGAAAGCAGCAGAAGUACCAAGAGUCGGAUGGGUGAAUGCUGCUCUUCAGAGCAGUCCCUGCAAUGGGGACUCCCCAGCCGUGAGGUCCCCAGCUCCCGCAGCAGCUCGGCAGCUCCCUCCCCUCCUCCACUUCUGCACUACGAUUCAUAUGGUGACUGCUGCAGUAAAAUCAGGAGCAAUGAAGACUAUAUAUAAAAGGGCUGGAGUAAAGCCCCAACUUAUUGACAGGCAGAAGAAAAGCAGGCAGACCAUAUGAUGGCAGUGGAAAAAAAAAAAAAGAAGAAAAAAAAGGAAAAGAAAGAAAACCAGAAAGAAGAAAGACAAACAGCCUCCUACACUGGAUGCAGCUCAAUUCCCAAGAACGAUGCUGCUGCCACGAGUGGGGCUUGGGCCCUGGGUACCUGAGGUGCUGGGGAGCUGCCCUGCUGCCAUGUCCCACAACCAGCCCAUCGAUUGGAGGUGGCCCUGAUUCCCC